rnacentral:rRNA from 1 species
AGAACGAACGCUGGCGGCAUGCCUAACACAUGCAAGUCGAACGCUUUUGGGGCUUCGGUCCCAAAGGAGUGGCGCACGGGUGAGUAGCGCGUGGGAACCUGCCCUGGAGUGGGGGAUAACCGAGGGAAACUUCGGCUAAUACCGCAUGCGCCCGGUUUACCUCGAAAGGGGGAAACCCGGGAAAGAUUUAUCGCUCUAGGAGGGGCCCGCGUCGGAUUAGCUUGUUGGUGGGGUAACGGCCUACCAAGGCUUUGAUCCGUAGCUGGUCUGAGAGGAUGAUCAGCCACACUGGGACUGAGACACGGCCCAGACUCCUACGGGAGGCAGCAGUGGGGAAUAUUGGACAAUGGGCGCAAGCCUGAUCCAGCAAUGCCGCGUGAGUGAUGAAGGCCUUCGGUUGUAAAGCUCUUUCGCACGCGAGGAUGAUGACGCUAGCGUGAGAAGAAGCCCCGGCUAACUUCGUGCCAGCAGCCGC